AUAUAAAUACAAGUUAAAAAUUUGGUAUUAAGCAAUUUAUUUAAUUUGAUACCCACUUAAACAUCAAUUCUAGUUUUUGACAAAGUAAACGAACUUCUUCAAGCUUUAUUUCAUCUCUUUUUCAUAUUUAUGCUUAAUGGUGGUAUAUAUGUAUAUAUAUAUAUCACUAGGUACUUUGUGUACGUAGUGUUAUAUAUUUUACUUAAAUAAUAAUAUAAUAUAAAUACCUACCUACGUCCUACAUGGAUAAAUUGUAUAAAUAAUAUUAAUUCUAAAAUAGCAUCAAAUAGUCAGUAAAUUAUAAUUUAUUUAUUUAUUUAUU